UACGGAGGGUGCAAGCGUUAUCCGGAUUCACUGGGUUUAAAGGGUGCGUAGGUGGGCAGGUAAGUCAGUGGUGAAAUCUCCGGGCUUAGCCCGGAACUGCCGUUGAUACUAUCUGUCUUGAAUAUAGUGGAGGUGAGCGGAAUAUGUCAUGUAGCGGUGAAAUGCUUAGAUAUGACAUAGAACAUCGAUUGCGAAGGCAGCUCGCUACACUAUGAUUGACACUGGAGGCACGAAAGCGUGGGGGAUCAAACAGGG
rnacentral:rRNA from 1 species